GGGAAGACGGCCGCUGUUACCUCAAUUAUUACUUCAUGACAACAAAACUAGGGAAUGGCGGAUAUAUCUGACCAGCGGAUAUGAAGGCUAGACAUGUGGCUCCAUCUUGUGAUAUGUUUGGCUUACAAUAAGUGAGAGACGAAGCAAACAAUGGCUGAAAAUACUGACGCCCGCCUCUACCUUAGCUGACUGCUUAUUUACAUAGACGAACUUUCAAUAUUUCCCUAAAUUUCCAACUCAGAUGUAAACAAAAUCUAAAAAUAUAUCAACAAUCUCAAAAAAAUACCUAAAAAACGAAUAACAAAACCUAAAUAAACGAAUACAAGACACUACAGGGAGGGGGAGGGUGAUGUAGUGAAGGCAGUAAGGCGGACUGAGGGGAGGCUGGCACCUCUGGACUCACCUUAUGUACUCGUGCCUCUCUGGUGCUGCUUGGGGGUGCUCGAUGCAAGGAGAAGCUGCCAGGAAUACGGAAACACUGGUUAAUAGAGCGUGUGGGGCAAGACUGACCAGUGCGGACCAAAACAUUGUGCCCAGCCAGCCGUCCUCCCUCACACACAAACACUCACACAAAAGUUUACAUGUUAUCAAAUAAUAUCCUCACUCCUUUUUCCCCGCUCCACACCCGCUACGUGAUUAUAAACGAAAACUUCACUCACUGCUGCAGCGUCACCGCAGCAAACACGAACGAGCGCUCUACUAAAAUGCUCCUCUCUCUCUCUCUCUCUCUCUCUCUCUCUCUCUCUACUGUUUCUGAAAUCCACAAAAAUGAUUACCAGUUUUUUUUUUUUUUUUUUCAAGGGUGUUUUUCCUGUCAAUAACUUAGAAAUGUCGUAGAUCUGUCUCUAGAACUAAAAAACAAAAAACCGUGUCAUUUUAAUUACAGCCUUUUAAAAAGCGUGUUUCUCUUGUUAGAAAUGUAGAAAUGAUAUUAAUCUGUCACUAGAACCGUAAAAACAUCCUUGAAAACCCGUGCAACUACUGAGAGAGAGAGAGAGAGAGAGAGAGACCAAUGCAUUUCUAAACAUGUGCACUGAACUGAAGGAUCAUGCUGAGGACUAAGUCUGUAUUAAGUCAGUCUAUGCUGCAUUUUAUUGAUUAUUGGUUGACAAUACAGUUUUAAUUUUUUAUGCUUUUGUGGUAUCUUAAUGUAGUUUUGUUAGUGGAGGUAAUAGCUGGUAUAGAGCAGCCUUGUUUGGUACAUACAAGCCAAAGCAGUGGUACAGGACCCAGUACAUAGCAGCCCUACAAUGGUACAUAUAAAUCAUAGCAGUGGUACAUAGCAGCCGAUGGUACAUAGUAGCUAGCAUUCCAGAUUUCAUUACAAGUUGAAAUAAUAAAACACUCAAUAAUUGUACAAUAAUUGUAUCUCCCUAAUAACUUUAUUAGAUGUUCCACUUCAUGUUCACCUUACCUAACCUGAUCUGACCUGACCUGAUCUUACCUAACCUGACCUAAGGUAACUUAAUGACCUGACCUUAACCUGAUCUAACCUUCUUUUCAUCUUUAUUUGUCUUCUUCCCUUUUUCUUUCCUUCUCUCCUACUUCCCAUCAUCUCUUCUUCAUCUCUAUUCACCACAACAGACCAACCUUCAUCAUAAACUGACACACACCUUUCUACCAGAGGUGAGGAGUGACAGCAGCAGCAGCAUGGUGGAGCAGAGGCCUGGGGGGGUAACCAUGGGAGGCAGAAGGCAGCAUGCUUAUCAAGUUUGUUACCAAGCAGGACCAUGUUUUCCAGGAGUAGAGAACAGUCUCAUUAUGGAGGGACGGGUGAACCUCGUGUGCUGUGGGCCCUUGCUGCGGAUGUGUGUGGCCGGCUGUGGAUGUGUGUAGCCAGAAGUGGUGUGCCUAAGCUCCUAGGAUGUGGUAGGAUGAUUCACAAGACACUCUCUUUCCACCAGGGGCUGACAGGGAUACACAGUGCCAGGUGCCUCAGUGCUGGAGGGACGGGUGAACCUCGUGUGCUGUGGGCCCUUGCGCCUUGAGUGAACAGCAACCCUGCCUAGCCAAAUGAAAUUGCCCACGUGUUCAUCAGACAAGGUUUGGAGGUCUUCAGAGAGCUGUCAAGACUGGAGUUUGUGGUAGAGGGGCAGCUGCUAAUCAGCAACCUUUGGGAGCAACUGGAGGAGAGUGGGAGGAGCCUGGAGGGAUUGGUGGUGGUUGAGUAUUUGGAGAAACUGCCUCCACCCACCCCCAAGGAUCCCCUCCACCACAAUGACCGGGUGUCUGCUGUACAGGUCCCUGACCAAUGGUGAGAGAGGGAGAGGGAGACUGGCUAAUGGUGGAUGGGAGAGAGUGACAAGUAAGGAUAUGAGAAAGAGAGAGAGAGGGAAGCUGACUAGUGGUAAGAGAAAAAGAGAAGGAAAGAGGUAGAGUGGGACUGACCAGUAGUAAAGGAGAGAGAGAGAGAGAGAGAGAGAGAGAAAAUUCAUCCUAAAUACACCCUAACUAAGAUAUAUUCACUCUAAACAGUAACACUACCCCAACUAACAUUCUCUCACCCUAAAUAAACCCUAAUCCCCCAAUUUUCACCCUAGACAAAAAAAUUUCACCAUAACUAACAUUCUCUCACCCAAACUAACUUCCUCACCCUAACCCAACCCCAUCUCACCCUAUCUCCUCCCCACAGGCUGCUGACAGGGUGCUUGAUGACGAGAGUAAUUUCCUUUAACUUUGGUAAUGCGCAACACAGCACCGCCAGCUGGCUCACUCACACAGAACUUAUAUGAAGCUACUCCAUACAUGCACUGUGGGUGUAUAGAAAGUGGCAUUACCUUAUUAAGAAAAGUAUGUAUGUGAGUAUAAUGUAAGAAUUAGGUAGCUUAGAUGAGGGUGGAGGAUAGGACCUUGGGAGUGAGAUGUGUUGUUGGUAAAUAGUAAUCCUUUAGCCAUACACGGGUUGCAGACUCCAUUGUGAAAAUAGUGACAGCUGACUGUGGCAGUGAGGGCACAGUGUAUGGAUGUCUGAGUCCCGCCAUAAAGUGUGCCAGAUGUAAUUCUCUGUAUUAUAAUUUGCCCAAGUAUCAGCUGAAGAAAAUGCACAUUAUUAUUAACAAAGCAGCUACAUUAAUAAUGAACUUGUCAGCAUAUAAGAGGGUCACACCAGUUCUCAUUGAACUACACUGGUUGUCAGUUAAGGCUAGAAUCAUAUAUAAAAUUUGUGUUAUGACAUAUGUGCCAAUGAAGACUGGGAAGCCUGAAUACUUGAGGAAAUUAUUACAACCAUUUGAAUUACAGACAGAUAUUGUAUUAAGAAUUGCUUCUGAUAGCAAUAGACUCUUAGAACCAAGGUAUAACAUAGACAUUAGUUGUGAAGCCUUUAAAUACUGUGCCCCAAGAUUAUAUAAUAGACUCCCAGGUGCUGUUAAGAAUAGUGAAAAUGUGGGUCUGUUUAGGAGGGGAUUAAAAACAUUUUGUUCAGUGACUGCUAUGAUAUGGAGGACAAGUGUAUUAGAGAUAAUUAUGCAUUAUAAUAAUUUGUAGGGUGAACAGUGUUAAAAUGAUAGGAGACAUUAUUGUGUUACUAUGAGUAAGUAUGACUGUUAUUUACUAUGAAGUGUCAGAGUGAUUAUUAAUAGUCUUAUGGAAGAAAAACAUUUUGUACUGUUGUAAAUGGGUAUUAUUUAGUCAGUAUUACUAGUUUUUAUUGAUUUUAGCAUCAUAAUACCUACACUGUCAAUAUAAUUGCCAUCAUUACUGUGUGUGAACUAUAUUGUAUUAGUAUGUUUAAGUAAGCAUCACUCUGUUAUUUAUAAUAUUAAGUGUUCUAUUAGUAUGUUUAAGUAAGCAUCACUGUGUUAUUACAAUAUUAAGUUUUA